rnacentral:rRNA from 1 species
CAGCAGCCGCGGGAAUACGUAGGUCCCGAGCGUUGUCCGGAUUUAUUGGGCGUAAAGCGAGCGCAGGCGGUUAGAUAAGUCUGAAGUUAAAGGCUGUGGCUUAACCAUAGUACGCUUUGGAAACUGUUUAACUUGAGUGCAAGAGGGGAGAGUGGAAUUCCAUGUGUAGCGGUGAAAUGCGUAGAUAUAUGGAGGAACACCAGUGGCGAAGGCGGCUCUCUGGUCUGUAACUGACGCUGAGGCUCGAAAGCGUGGGGAGCAAACAGGAUUAGAGACCCGAGUAGUCCCUGUCUCUUAUACA